ensembl:lncRNA
AUUGUAUCUGUGCAGUUUUUGUGUAAUUUAGAAUUUAUUUCAAAAUAACUUCCUGAAAACUGCCAGGUGUGUCUCAAGAGCUGACAGGACUUGAUGGUAUCAUCCCAUACCUAAAAGCGCUGCCUCUUGCCUGAUGUCUUGAGUGAGUUUGAAAGGAGUUUGAUUGUCAGGUGGGCACUGUUCAUCGUCAGCGUGUCGUUAAUUUAAUCCAACAAACACUCCAGACUGCUCAACAGCGACGUGUGGUGUCCCAAGUGUGUCACCUCUGCUUAAUGGUCAUCUCGCUGCCCAGCUUUAGUCAUUCCUCUUGAUUUACAACCAUUUGGUGGAUAUGGAUGAAGAGGACAGCUGCAAAGGGUUGGCGCUGCUUUAACUUAUCAAAAACACUGUAUUGUCACUCAACCAUGUGAGGUUUUGUCAUCAUCGAUAAAAACACUUACAGACAUUCAGAAUAUCUCAGUUUUGGGCCUUUUUUUUUUUUUUUUUUAGCUUUUAUGACAAAACAGUGGAGUGUGAAAAUGAAAGCUACCAGAGAGAGCAGGAGAAGGCGAAGAAGAUGUAUUGGUACUGUGUCUGUUCUCUAUUGGAAACCAGCUAAGAUGACUCCAAAGGAAAUAGCUAACGGCUAAAAUAAGUUAUUAGAUGCCCACAAGUCUAAUACAUACGAGCUGCCCAAAGACCAGAUAUGACAAAAAAUGUUACUUGAAGUUUACAAAAGAACACUGAGGCUUAGGAAUAAAAUAAGUUCAACUAGGGUCAUCUAUCAAGUCAUGUUCCAGGGAAAUGUUAGGGUUUGGCCAAGUUAAAGCCCAGAUCGCAACUCAUGUCUUUAACAGUGGCACAUCACAUCUCAUAUCCUGCAAAUGUGGCAAUGCUGAGCAAAUUCUGACUGUAGAACCAAAUUUUCCCCCAAAUUUUGUACAUCAACAUUUUGAGCUUAAUGCUGUCUAUAGAUUUAGAUGAAGAUCAAAUCACUUUGUGAAUAAUUAACAGGGAAAACUAGCUAAUUCCCAUGUAGUCACCUUUUCAUGA